UGGACAGUAGCAAAAAAUAAAUCCUCUUUUGCAACCCAGAGUUCAUUGUUCAGUGUGAGUUUUGAUACGUGUAAGAAGGAAUAUU
rnacentral:snoRNA from 1 species